rnacentral:tRNA from 1 species
GGUAAAGUAAGAUAAACUAAUCUAAGGGGCUCAUAACCCAACUAUAGGGUGUAAGUCCCUCUUUAUCA